GCUGGAUAGCUCAGUUGGCUAGAGCGUGGUGCUGAUAAUACCAAGGUUGCAGGUUUGAUUCCUGUAAGGGAGAGCUGCA